UACGUAGGGUGCGAGCGUUGUCCGGAAUUACUGGGCGUAAAGAGCUCGUAGGUGGUUUGUCGCGUUGUUCGUGAAAACUCACAACUCAAUUGUGGGCGUGCGGGCGAUACGGGCAGACUGGAGUACUGCAGGGGAGACUGGAAUUCCUGGUGUAGCGGUGAAAUGCGCAGAUAUCAGGAAGAACACCAAUGGCGAAAGCAGCUCUCUGGGACGGUACUGACGCUGAGACGCGAAAGCGUGGGGAGCGAACAGG
rnacentral:rRNA from 1 species